AAAAAAAAGGAAGCAGUAGAUACAUGCUUUGUAUGAUCCACUACUAGAAUACUCGCCCUGGAUUAUUCUCUUGAUAAUCAUAACCUUUGGCCUCAUUAUAGGGAAAGAGACCACUGCGACAAUUAGUUCAGGGUUUAAAGUGAAAACUUUGCACUUUUUUGGUUCCCAGUUGGGCAAGAUUUUCUAUUAAUUCUGUUUCACCUUGUAAUCUAUACAUUUUUGUCUGUUUAGACCCAGUAUCUAGCAUGUUGUUCAUAUAUGAAAUGCUUAAAAAUAUUCAUUAAGCUAUAUUUGCAUUCUUAAUUCUUGUGUUUCUCAGAAUUUGUAGUAAGUAUGUUCUUUCUCAAAAUAUAAUGAAUCACAAGUAAGCCAUCACAUAUUGGAAGUCUCCUGUACUUAGAGUUCUCCGUUUACUAUGGUCAUGCUUGAAUUAGCAUGGGAAAAGCUGGAGAGGAUCCUCAGAAAGGUUACCAGAAUGGUGAAAGGCUUUGAAUCCAUGCUAAGUGAAGGCAACGUAAUUUUCAGCACAAUAAAUGAAGAAUUGGCUGAAUAUUGACAGAGAAUUGGAAUCCAAUUCAAAAAGGAGCAGCAAAAUCAUUUAUAAAUGAAGGAGUACAUCAUGCCUGAAGAUUGGGUUCUGAUUAGCCUGGGAGGCUUCUAAUACCCACUAUUGAUUUUCUGCUACUGUAUCUGACAUUGAACUUUGUGUCCGGCCACGGGGGUUCUAUCUUUUGCAUGAUAGAAUGAUGAAUAGUUGUCUAAAAGACUCUGAACACAUACUUAUUUCCCCUUCAAUAAGAACAAGUCAAUAUAAUUAAGCAGAGGAAAAAAAAAACAACAUUGUGGUUACCCAGCAAGUUUAUGGAACAGUUUGGGGUUUGUCCUCUUGUAUCUGGUUAAUGACCAUAAUGCCAAAGUCAUAGUUAUUCUAUGAAGAAUUAGCCAUCAUAUUAAUGACUCAUAUUCCUUUUGAUCUUUAAUGGGAAAAGUGAGAGCCUCAUAUUUAUAAUAAAAAUAG
rnacentral:lncRNA from 1 species